rnacentral:rRNA from 1 species
UACGUAGGGGGCAAGCGUUGUCCGGAAUCAUUGGGCGUAAAGAGCGUGUAGGCGGCCUGAUAAGUCGGCUGUGAAAGUCAAGGGCUCAACCCUUGAAUGCCGGCCGAUACUGUCAGGCUAGAGUCCGGAAGAGGCGAGUGGAAUUCCUGGUGUAGCGGUGAAAUGCGCAGAUAUCAGGAGGAACACCUAUGGCGAAGGCAGCUCGCUGGGACGGUACUGACGCUGAGACGCGAAAGCGUGGGGGAGCGAACAGG